rnacentral:lncRNA from 10 species
AUAACCAUUGUUGUUGCUAUUGCUAUUAGUAUUUGUAUUACACUGGAUAAUUUCUGCAACACUUGUACAUGCAGUACCUCAUUUGGUCCAUACCUUAUAAGGUAUUAUUCUGCCCAUUUUACAGCAGAUUAAAUGACUUGCCCAGGGUCACCUAACUAGUAAGUGACAGAACAGGAACUCAAAUCCAGAUAUUGGACCUUGAUGUCUAUGUUCAUUCCUUACCAUUAUGAAACUUAAUUGCAUGUUUUAGCAUUUCCGAAUUUCAUCUUUUCACUGGAGGCCUGAAUUCUGGCUCAAUGACUUUCUCUCCCCAAGCCUAUAUUUUUUAAUCUGUAACAUGCGGUAUAAUGAUAACUAGUGCAUAGAAUGAUUGUGGAGGAUU